rnacentral:tRNA from 1 species
UGCGGGGUGGAGCAGUUGGUAGCUCGCGAGGCUCAUAACCUCGAGGUCACUGGUUCGAGUCCAGUCCCCGCUA